UACAGAGGUCCCAAGCGUUGUUCGGAUUCACUGGGCGUAAAGGGUGCGUAGGUGGUUGCGCAAGUCUGAUGUGAAAUCUCCGGGCUCAACCCGGAAAUGGCAUUGGAAACUGCGUGGCUAGAGGGUUGGAGGGGGGACUGGAAUACUUGGUGUAGCAGUGAAAUGCGUAGAUAUCUGGAGGAAUACCGGUGGCGAAGGCGGCAUCCUGGACUAAUACUGACGCUGAGGCGCGAAAGCUAGGGGAGCAAACGGG
rnacentral:rRNA from 1 species